GAUGAACGCUGGCGGCGUGCCUAAUACAUGCAAGUCGAGCGAACAGACGCGGAGCUUGCUCCUCUGACGUUAGCGGCGGUCGGGCUAGUAACACGUGGAUAACCUACCUAUAAGACUGGGAUAACUUCGGGAAACCGGAGCUAAUACCGGAUAACAUGUUGAACCGCAUGGUUCAACAGUGAAAGACGGUCUUGCUGUCACUUAUAGAUGGAUCCGCGCCGCAUUAGCUAGUUGGUAAGGUAACGGCUUACCAAGGCAACGAUGCGUAGCCGACCUGAGAGGGUGAUCGGCCACGCAGAAACUGAGACACGGUCCAGACUCCUACGAGAGGCAGCAGUAGGGAAUCUUCCGCAAUGGGCGAAAACCUGACGGAGCAACGCCGCGUGAGUGAAGAAGGUCUUCGGAUCGUAAAACUCUGUUAUGAGGGAAGAACAAAUGUGUAAGUAACUAUGCACGUCUUGACGGUACCUAAUCAGAAAGCCACGGCUAGCUACGUG
rnacentral:rRNA from 1 species